UUAAUUUUAUUACAUUGUUCCAUUUUGACGCUAGAGAUGGAACCCAGGGCCUCAUGCUGCUAAAUAUGCUCUCUGCCACCAGCUACGCCCCCAGCCCCUGAGACUCUAGGAGAAAACUUCAGCCUUCGUGCAUUGUCACUAAACAGUCACCGACAGCUUGUAUUUUCUUAGCUCUGUGCUAAAUUACGGGGGUGCAAAGAGAUUCUACCUUCAAAAGAGCAACACACAGACACAACAUCGCUCCAAAUGCUGGGUGUGACGGGCCUGUGCUCCGCCCUGUCAGCCCAGAGCACGGGCCUGUGCCAGUGAGGAAAUCUUCCCGAAGAGGAGCGACUGAGUUCACGGCAGAUUCCGCACUGGAGACUGAAAGCACAGCAUCACCCCUUUCCAACAAUCUACUGGGGGUCCUAGCUCAUGCAAUAAUAUGAGAAAAGAGACAAAAGGCAUUGGGCAAGAAGAAAUAUGGCUGUUUUAUACAUGAAUAACAUGAUGAUAUGGAACAUUUGAAAGAAUAAACGUACGACAAUAAUAAAAAUCCUCCUUAACUAAUUACGAACUACAGCAAGGAUGCAGAACACAAGGCAAAUAUACAAAAGAUCAUUGCAGCCCAGCUCCUAAUAGACCGUGGACCUGGGGCUGGGGACCCCUGGACUGAGGCAGUCACCUGGACUUCACUGCCAGAUUCUCUGCAGACUGGGAUUAGGCUAGUUACUCCCCUGGGAAGGAGGGUGAUAGCUAACCCGAUUCCAUCGUAUGCCUCAACGCCAUUUUGGACCUGUGCUUGAACAAAGUUCUUGCAGAUGAACAAAGCACCCCCAACCCCCCACAUCCUGCUGCACUUGCAGGAUGUUUUGUAGCUCCCCUAGUGUGUGUGAAAUUUCCUUGUGCCCCCCACUAACCUGGCAUGGUUCUGCUUCUGUAAGAGUCCGCUUACUCUUCCCUGAGCCCUCCCCAACUGAAAGCAGGAUUUAAAAGGAGACGUCAAACUGCUUCCCAUUGCCAAUAAACCUUUCUGGGCGCCAGCCCCCCUCAGCUGCCGGCUAUAAUAAAUGGGCUCGCAUCUGUCA